rnacentral:rRNA from 1 species
AUACAGAGGGUGCAAGCGUUAUUCGGAAUUACUGGGCGUAAAGCGCGCGUAGGCGGAUGAUUAAGUCAGUUGUGAAAGCCCUGGGCUCAACCUAGGAACUGCAUCUGAUACUGGUCGUCUAGAGUUUAAGAGAGGGAAGUGGAAUUCCAGGUGUAGCAGUGAAAUGCGUAGAUAUCUGGAGGAACAUCAGUGGCGAAGGCGACUUCCUGGCUUAAAACUGACGCUGAGGUGCGAAAGCGUGGGAGCAAACAGGAUUAGAAACCCUAGUAGUCC